CGUGAUAAGCUGCGAUAAGCUUCGGGGAGUUGCACGUAAACUUUGAUCCGAAGAUUUCCGAAUGAGGAAACUCACUUAGAGUAAUGUCUAAGUAUCAUUAAGUGAAUACAUAGCUUAAUGAGGGGAACUCAGGGAACUGAAACAUCUAAGUACCUGAAGGAAGAGAAAGAAAUUCGAUUCCGUAAGUAGCGGCGAGCGAACCCGGAUUAGCCCAAACCAAUAAAGUUUUCUUUAUUGGGGGUGCGGACAUAUCAUAAC
rnacentral:rRNA from 1 species